rnacentral:rRNA from 1 species
CAAUAGCGUAUAUUUAAGUUGUUGCAGUUAAAAAGCUCGUAGUUGGAUUUUGGGUCGGGGCGUCCGGUCCGCCGUUCCGGUGUGCACUGGGCGCCCCUUCCUUUCUGCCGGGGACCGCCUGGGGCUUUAAGUAGCUCGAGGCGGGAGUCGGCGUUGUUACUUUGAAAAAAUUAGAGUGUUCAAAGCGGGCUUACGCUUGAAUAUUUCAGCAUGGAAUAACACUAUAGGACUCCUGUCCUAUUUCGUUGGUCUCGGGACGGGAGUAAUGAUUAAGAGGAACAGUUGGGGGCAUUCGUAUUUCAUUGUCAGAGGUGAAAUUCUUGGAUUUAUGAAAGACGAACUUCUGCGAAAGCAUUUGCCAAGGAUGUUUUCAUUAA